ACUUUAGCCCAUUUUGAUUAAACUAUCUAAUUUUUCAAAAUUUUCAUUUUAUUAUUCAAUCUUUUAAUUUAUUUGAUUUAAAUAAUUUGAUAACUCUGUGGAUACAAAAUUUAAGCUAAUUGCAUAUUUUAAUAAAAUUAUAGUUACAUAAUAUUACACAUAAUUAAAUAUAUAAAGAAAAACGGUGUAUUUGAAUUUAAAAGUUAAAGAGUUACUAACCGGUGGAAAUCAAAUAAAUUAAAAGGUUAGAUGGUAAAAUUAAAAUUUUAAAAAGUUAAAUGGU
rnacentral:lncRNA from 1 species